AAGACGGUCUUGCUGUCACUUAUAGAUGGAUCCGCGCUGCAUUAGCUAGUUGGUAAGGUAACGGCUUACCAAGGCAACGAUGCAUAGCCGACCUGAGAGGGUGAUCGGCCACACUGGAACUGAGACACGGUCCAGACUCCUACGGGAGGCAGCAGUAGGGAAUCUUCCGCAAUGGGCGAAAGCCUGACGGAGCAACGCCGCGUGAGUGAUGAAGGUCUUCGGAUCGUAAAACUCUGUUAUUAGGGAAGAACAUAUGUGUAA
rnacentral:rRNA from 1 species